rnacentral:rRNA from 1 species
UUUCCGGUUGAUCCUGCCGGACCUGACUGCUAUCGGAUUGAUACUAAGCCAUGCGAGUCUUUGCAGUAAUGCAAGGCAUACGGCUCAGUAACACGUAGUCAACUUACCCUAUGGACGAGGAUAAUCUCGGGAAACUGAGCAUAAUACUCGAUAGAUCAUAAUGCCUGGAAUGGCUUAUGGUUGAAAUGAUUCGUAACCAUAGGAUGGGACUGCGGCCUAUCAGCUUGUUGGUGAGGUAAUGGCCCACCAAGGCGAUUACAGGUACGGGCUCUGAGAGGAGAAGCCCGGAGAUGGGUACUGAGACAAGGACCCAGGCCCUAUGGGGCGCAGCAGGCGAGAAAACUUUGCAAUGUGCGAAAGCACGACAAGGUUAAUCCGAGUGAUUUCUGCUAAAGAAAUCUUUUGCAAGUCAUAAAACCACUAGUGAAUAAGGGGUGGGCAAGUUCUGGUGUCAGCCGCCGCGGUAAAACCAGCACCUCAAGUGGUCAGGAGGAUUAUUGGGCCUAAAGCAUCCGUAGCCGGCUCUGUAAGUUUUCGGUUAAAUCCAUGUGCUCAACGCAUGGGCUGCCGAAAAUACUGCAUAGCUAGGGAGUGGGAGAGGUAGACGGUACUCGGUAGGAAGGGGUAAAAUCCUUUGAUCUAUCGAUGACCACCUGUGGCGAAGGCGGUCUACCAGAACACGUUCGACGGUGAGGGAUGAAAGCUGGGGGAGCAAACCGGAUUAGAUACCCGGGUAGUCCCAGCUGUAAACGAUGCAGACUCGAUGAUGCAUUGGCAUAUAGCCAGUGCAGUGUCGCAGGGAAGCCGUUAAGUCUGCCGCCUGGGAAGUACGUACGCAAGUAUGAAACU